CUGUCGAGAAACAAACAGCUUUACUAUUUUCGGACCAAACUGUUUCCGGGCCCGCACGACAGACCUUCGGAUUACAACAAAAUGGAAACACGAGCGGUUCUACUUGUGAUGGCAGUCCCCGACUCCAUCAGUCUCCUCGCUCUCCUCUCUGUGUCUGCCUUGUCCUGGAUGUAAUCCUGAAAUCAUACUCUUCAUAAGUUAAAAGUUGUCGCUGGCCCUGCUCCACCUCCUCCUCCAGAUGUCCCCAACGCUGUAGUAGGUCCCGGUGGGUGAUGGACAGGGUCUCAUGGCGCCGAAUGAUGGGCAUCACCAAAGAUUCAGACCCAUUAUCGAGUUUUAGACGAGGGUCGCCGGGAUCUAACGCACCAAGGGAAGAAGUCGUCAUGUUUGUUUUAUUGCAAAUAUAUUGUCCAGGAAUACCG